rnacentral:hammerhead_ribozyme from 1 species
AUUCAGCUAACGAGUCCUAAAUAGGAUGAAACGCGCGUCCUGAAU